ACAGUAGGGCUGUGUGCUGCGCAUUGCAUAACCGCCGCCGGGACGGGGGGCGGCGGCGGUGGCGGCGGCGGCGCGCGCGGGGGGCGACGGCGGUUACGUAACGGCCCGGCGGGGGGGGUACAGGAAAAAUAAAAUCCCACGGUUGAGAGCCGCUGCCAGCUGUCUGCACAAAGGGAGUCCGCGGACUUGAGGAAAAACUCCGAGAAGAGAACGGUUCUGUGAGUGCCCACCUCCGCUGGCCCGUCUCCUGGAGGGAUGAAGUAGGGCACGCAGGUCUUGAGCUACACUCCUAGCUGCCUUCAGCGUGCCGGGAUUUAUCCUGGCUUCUGGACAGCAAUAUAUGCACUCCAACCCCUGAUGGAUUCGUCUGUAUGUAUCAGUACACAACGGCAGCCCUCUUAACACCGUCUCUGAUUUUCACUUAAUGAGCGGUGCUGAGCCUACGUGUUGUAACACUGCUACGGGAAGGGUCUAGCAAAGGGGCAUUUACAAAGCAAUUAAUAAAAAUAUCGCAGACAGUGCCUUCUAUCAUCUCUAACAUCCUCUGGCUUCUUUAUACUCUCUUGUGUUCGUGCUUCUUGGGUUUUCAGUAACGCAAGGUCUGCGUCUGACCCAGCCCAGAAUUCAAAGCCAGCAGAAUUCAACAGCAAAAUCCCAGUGCUUUCAAAGAGAAAAGGCUCUAAUUCCUCACCCUUGUUACCGUUCACAUUCAGGACAGAAUAAUCCAAAUUACAUGUAGUUUGGAGUGAAAUAAAAAUGAAAUGCUUUUUAAGAUCAUGAUAUGUUAAACAUGUUUUGAUGGCUUUAUUUAUAUAU